UAUGAACAACAGUAUGUCUACUACCUCCAGGUUUACAUUCAUAACUAAAGUCUUAAAAUACUGCAAAACAAAUAUGUAAAUGCCUUAGUUUCUGGCUAUUUUAAUUGUGGUUUUUUUUAGUUUUAUUUAAAGCAUGUUGUUGUCAAUUCGUUUUUUUUGGAAGAUUCAGUUUUUUAAACGCAAUAUGUGCCACAUGAAAAGAAGAUAGAAAGUACUACUAAUUUGAGGAAGACAGAAAGUCUUACUGAUUGGAGGAAGACAGAAAGUUCUACUGAUUGGAGGAAGACAGAAAGUCCUACUGAUUGGAGGGAUUCCUCGUGGAAUGCGAGGAAUGGUGAAGCAAAGCAAACAUCGCUGCCGACUCUGUGCCCUAAAACAACAAAAUGAUUGAUGCCGCAGUUUAAUGUUCGGGGCAUGUGGCAGAGAUUAAUUCUCAUUUGCCUCUGUGUAAACGCUAUCUUGUGCAUCUAAGGAGCCUGCUCAUUGUCUCGCCGAACAGGCAGGUUUUGAAUGAUGUGCACUCGCGUCUUUGUCAGCGUAUUAGGUGGAAUAUCUCGGUCCAUUCACGGACAAUGUGAUGAAUGAAACAAGACUCCAGGCUCAGAAUCUCUCACACCAUCAUCCAUGAUAUUGGCACGCGAUACAAUGAGAUUUAGCACGUAGGCCCUGCAGGUGCUUUCUGCCCUGUGUUUCCCACACCUGGAAGGGCACCAAAGGGCAUGGACACCUUACACGCCUAUUCAGCAUCGUGUCUCGCAGGCUCCGCCCACUCUAUAGGAUACACUACUCCGCCAGCGUGCUAACAAUGAGCAUCGCUAUCACUGUCCAUCUAUUCAACGCUGGGCGGGACGCACUUAUCAUAAAGGCUCCUGUCAUUUUGAUGGCCGUUAUCAUUGAAUACGCCUUCUUGAAACCAGACAUAAAAAAGACUGCCACCUUGGGAGGCCCUGUUCCGAUCCAUCUCCAAAGGAAGAGAAAGAGUCGGGGUCAGAACCUCCACUUUUCAGUUGUCAUUUAUCACAUCAAUAGAGACUGUACAUUACACGGGAUUAAUCGGGCUGAAUUGAGGCACCCAGAGGAAAAGGAUAUACGGGGACGGCUUGAAGAUCAAGAGAUAAAAGAAAGUGGUAAAGAAAGAACUAUGGGAUUUUGAGCCCUUUGAGAGGUGGCCAAUCUGGCACGGAGUAGCGGCGCCAGCGCCAGCAAUAUGUCUUUACUGUAUUAUGAGCCACGUACUGGAAAGCUCAGUACUGUCAUCAAAUGUCAUCAGAAGGCUGUAAUUGGACUGCAUCCUCAGGCUUUCGGAUCAGAGACUGCAGAAGCUAAGCGCGUUGGAUUUGCGUCCUCGGAUGGCCCCGUUGUAGAAAUGAGCGAGCUGAUGGCAUGCGGUCAUUAUUUGCCCGCCACAUGCCUGCCAGAUUAGUCUUGUGACUACAGCGGGAAUCGCAGGCCCCGCUGCGCCCACUGUCCUCUCUCUUCAUGUGCACUGGUUUGAACAUCUCUUUCCGAGAAGGUCACAUGGCGGUUCAUUUACUGCCAUCUAUGACAUCAUUUCUUUGUUAAUCGACUUGCUGAACAGAUCUUUUUGCUGAAAUGGGAGCGUUUAAAUGAUUUGGGGUGGUUUGCUGCAGUCUUUAUGUUUUUUGGAAAAUACCUGUGCUUUUAAAAAGAAAGGAAAACUUCCCGCUGAAAACACAAGAUGUGUCUUUAUACAGCAGUAAUGAGUCGUGUUUAGUUAAUAGUGAUUGUCUGGGUCUGAAGUGUGAGAGAUUUCCUUUUGCAUUUUAGUUUGAUGAUAAAAUGUACCAAGUAACAAAUGUUCUUUUGAUAUUUUGCAAUAAGUCUGAUGUACAUCCAGGUAAUUGUUCUGGCACUCAGGGGAAGGGGAGUUGGGUAGAAAGAAAGUUAUUUUGUUUAAAAUCAAAGUUACUUUAGGGAAUUCUUUUGGUUCUUUUACUACUGUUGUCUCUUGGUUUUUCCCCUCCUUAAAGAA